UGCUGAAAGUUUGGGAAAUUUAAAAAUAAAGAGAAAGCAACAGAGCAAGGCUGUUGUAAACACCAAAGGCAAAAACUUCAGUCCAGAAAAGUGGAUUCCUUUUUAAUUUACAGCAUAAAAACAACCUUGAGAAAAUAAACAUCGUGGCUUAGACAAGUUUCCAUCACUGAAAGUUGUUCCUCUAAGAAAAGCAAACUACAGAUAUGUGUAAGAAGUGAAACGGGAUGAGUUCUGAAAGAAUGAGUGAAUUAAUUCUGAAAGGUAUUUGAUCAAAUUUAUAGGUCUUGUUCAUUGAUACAUAGUCUUAUGAGAAUCUAGGAAAAAAGUAAUUUCAUAUUCAUAAUUAGAAAGAAAGUUGUCCUUUCUUCCAAGAAGUUUACACUAGGCAGAUCUUUGUUAUCACUGAUAAUUAAUAAUUUUUAGUAAAAAACAUAAACAGUACCUUUCUAUGAGUUUUGCUUUCUUGAGAAAUACAUUGACUAGCCCUGUGUCUGUUUACUCGUUUAUCUUUGCUACGUUAAUGAAAUUUAGGAUGUUGUCACUAGAAGCAAGUGUUUGGUUUCCUAACAUUCCUUUAGGAAAUACACUAUGUUUAGACAGAGUUUUAAAACAAUCAGCAUCCGGAUCCAACAUCUGAUAAACUGUAAAGCAGGAAUAGGUACUUUAAUUUUAGAGUGAUGAUGACUUAUUUCCUCUCAUUGCAGGUUUGUGGCUUCUUUUUCUAGGACCUAGUAGUGAGAGGGAAGAAGUAGCAACUGGACCGAGUACUGACUGGGGAAAAAGGCUGGAGUACAAGAGCUUUAUUAUCUGUCAGUCACAAUCUCACUUUAGACUCUCGGCUCAAGGAGCCCAGACUCUUUUCUACGCAGAGUUAGAGAGAGAGAGAGAGACAGAGAGAAAGGUCUUCCUUGUCCAUUGGUUCACCCCUCAAGUGGCCGCUACGGCAGGCACGCUGCGCCGAUCCGAAGCCAGGAGCCAGGUGCCUCUUCCUCGUCUCCCACAUGGGUGCAAGGCCCAAGGACCUGGUCCACCCUCCACUGCAUUCUCGGGCCACAGCAGAGAGCUGGACUGGAAGAGGAGCAACCAUAUUUGAAAGCCCUCAGGAUGAAGACAAAUUGCAGCUAAGCAACGUAAUGGAAUAAUUGCAAACAUACUUUCUUCAAAGCCAUAAGAGCCUAAAUGAUCUUUCCAACAAAAUGUUUUAUCAUAAACAGAAGCUUUCAAAUACAUGUGUGACAUAUGUAUUCCAAUCUUAUCACUGCUUUAAUAGAGUUCUACAUAGUGGCUGAAAGUCUUUUAUUGAAUUUAUUUCUAAAUUUUCAAAAGUGAAUUUUGUUUCUUAAACUUUUGGCCAGCAAACUGUUUAAGCAAACCAGUAGUGUACGAAUGAUAAAAGGGCAAACAAGUAGAUAUUUUCAACGAGGAAACUGACUUUUAUAAUUACAAACUCCUUCUAACAUGGACUAAUUUUGCAAAGUUCUUGAAGUUUGGCUCUUUUGAUCUUCAUAAUUUCAUUUUUUUUGCACAAAAUGUACUUAUUCUUCAAAUCCAUUUUUCCAUGAGCUUUUUAAAAAAUUUUUUUAAAGAUAUAUAUAUAUUUAUUUGAAAGUCGGACUUCCAGAGAGAGAGAUAGAUCUUUCAUCCGCUGGUUCACUCCCCAAAUGGUUGCAAUGGCUGGAGCUGGGCCUAUCCAAAGCCAGGAGCUGGGAGCUUCUUCUGGAUCUCCCACAUGGGUGCAGGGGGUCAAGCACGUGGGCCAUCUUCUACUGCUUUUCCAGGCACAUUGAGUGGAGAGCUGGAUUGGAAAAGGAGCAGCCAAGACUUGAAUCAGCGGCCAUAUGGGAUGCCAGCGCCACAGGUGGCAGCCCAUCCAUGAGCUUCUUGAAGUACUCUUAUAGAGCAUUCCUUGAUUCUCCUGCUAUCUCUCUGGUCUUGAUUUUUUUUAAUGAUCUCUUUUCUCCUCAUUGUCUUCUGAAUUUUCAAACACAGGUUUUGUCUUCUCUGUCUUCGCUCCUUCCUUCUUUGCUCCAACAACUUCAAUUGCUGAUCUAUUGACAUUGUUUCUGAGCCCAAGUGUCUAGCCCAGUUUUGCUUCUAAGACAUAACCCUUUGUAUUUCUUCCUGUUUGAAAGUCUUUUUGACUUUUCCAUAAGUACCAUAAACAACAUGUUCAAAAAAUUAAUCACAUCUUCAUCAAAAGCAUCCUGACUCUUUUCAUGAUUUUCCAGAACCAUUCUCUCAGUCAGUCUCCGUAAACAUCUCAGUUCUCUGUUAUUUUCUUCUAGUUCCCAAGUCAGUCACUGCGUUUUGCUAGUUUCCUCUUUUUCACCCUUGGUUUAGGAAGUUAUUUUUCUCUUAGAUAGUGUGAUAACAUUUAGAUGACAUCCUUUCCUCCUGACUCUCCCCACUCUGAAAUCUACCCUAUACACCAACAAGUCAAUCUUCCUAAAAUGUAGUUUACCUUAUAUCAAUUCUCUCCCCGCAAAUCCUUAAGAGUUUGUUAUUUUCUGCUGUAUAAAGUACAAAUCUGGGCUUACAUUGUGGCACAGUGGCUUAACCUUCUGCCUGUGAUGCAGACAUCCCAUAUGAGCACAAGUUUGAGUGCCAGCUGCUCCAUUUCUGAUCCAGUUCCCUGCUAAUGCCAUCUUGGAAAGCAGCAGAGAAUGGCUUGAGUGCUUGGGCCCCUGCCACCAAGGUGGGAGACCUGGAUGAAGCUCCUGGCUCCUGGUUUCUGUAUGGCCCAACCCUGAAGGUUGUAGCCAUCUGGAGAGCGAACCAGUGGAUGGAAGAUCUUUCUCUCUCUCUCUCUGUAACCCUGCCUUUCAAAUAAAUAAAUAAAUAAAUAAAUAAAUCUUUAAAAAAGUAAGUAAAAUCCUCAUCCUGGCAUUCACGUACAUCCAAAUAUUGGCCUGCUAUACUUCUGACAAACUGAAGUGGUUGGUAUUCCUAGGACAAACUGUGAUGUCCUAACAUUUUUUUCUUUAUCAGUGCUAUUCCUUUCAUGAAGAAUUUCCUACCCUAUCAUCUGUUCAACUUGUUAAAAUACCACCUAGUCUUCAAAUGCUGCAAUCUUGCAUGAAACCCUCCUUCCUCCCCUAACCAGAUGCAAUUCCUUCUGUUUCUUUUAUCUUUUUUUCUUUCCGUGGCAUUGGUUUUUAUCCCUUUAAUGAUACCCACCUUGUUCCACUUUGCACUUUAGCUACAUAGAGACCUGUUCCUUUCCAUUCUGCACUUUUUGGAGUUACUCAUGAGUGAAAUAAAAGGAAGUGGGCCUAUAGCUAUAGCAGAAGAUCUCUGAGGGAAGGGAAUGCUUACUCACAUUUGUGUUUGAUGUAGCACACAUAGGAGCAAGGGUAGAAGUAGAUCAUUUAAUCACUACCGGUUUUACUGUGUUGUGACAAGAAGACACAUUUAUUACUUGCAUAUUUAGACAUGAGCUUGCGUAUAUGAGACAUCUUAGAAAAUAUCCCACAAUUUAAGUUCUAAAGAGCAUUAGUUUUCAGAAUCCAGAAGUCAAAAUGGUUCAUUUCCAUUUUUCUUGAUAGAAAGAAAAUAAAACUGAUUUUACUAUUUAUGCCCAGGGACAAUUUCUGCUUUGUUAUUCAGAAAGCUGUAAAAAUAUAAAACCACGUUUUUGGUCUUCCUUCAUUUUUUAUUGGAUCACUUUGGCUGAUUUUCUCACAUAUGAAUUAAAAGAUAAUAUUAUCUACUUCAUACAGUGGUUGUGGGAUUUACUUGCAUCAAUGCAUGUAAACUAUACAAAAGUGCCUGCCACAGCACAAGCACCUGAUAGCAUUUAGCUAGCAUUAUUAAUACUCAUGAAAAAGAUUGCUUCCUUCAGGAGGCACCCCCAGAGUGGUUGGAAUUUCCACAUCUGCAGCCAGGCACAGGUUUUCCUUGCACCUUAUCUUCAUCCAGGGCCUCCUUGGAUUGUGCAUAUCUGGGCAACAGGAGCCAAAGUGUGCUGUGCCUGUUUCCCUCUCUUCCAUUUGCCACUUCUGAGUAACAUUCCAAGUUGUGUUUAGAUUCAAUGCCUUUCCACUUCAUGGUGGGAUGAAUCAGAUUCCACAGCAAAUACCUAAAUAAGAUGAUGGAAAAAUGUAAAUUUCCUAUGAAAACAGGGCUAGAUUUGAUUUGUCUGUCCCUGUGGCACCCUACCUCAUAUAGUAUAGGCACUCAAAAAAUUUUUGUUAAGUGAAUGAAUCAAUUAAUGGAGUUGAAUGUGACUUGGUUAGUUUUUCUCGCCUGUGCAAGACAUACCAGAGGUAAAUUCCUUUCCUUGAGAGCAAUUGACCUAUAGUUGACCUUAUUGCAAACCAAACUGUCCUUUAUUUUGUAUUAGUUAUUUUUUUCAAUAGAGUGAGUGUAAGUGAUUUGGAGCAAAGUCUUAUUAAUACAUAACAGUGUUAGAGACAUUCUGUUUUACCUAUAUGAAAAUUGUCUAACAGGAUUAAAUGAUAUUUAGCAGGUACUUGUUGUGUGCCAGACACUGUUCUGAAUGUUUUGAAAACCAACUAUGUGUGUUCCUAAGUGCAAUGCAUUAUCUUGGAUUGAGUCUUGGAAUAAAGAAGGGGCACUAGUUGAGACACUGGUGAAAUGUGAAUAAAGUCUGAAGUUAAUUGCAAUGUUGGUUUCUGUACCCUUUUUGCAACUUUUGUGUAU